AUUUAAACAGAUUUCUAAAAAAACACGGGAACCUUAUUUAAUCGUUUAAUCACUUUGCGAACCAUAUUAAUGUAAAUAUUUUAAAAAUAACUUUAUUUUUAGUGCACCAACCUCCACUUCCAGUGGGUUA